rnacentral:rRNA from 1 species
AUGGGGGCAACCCUGACCGAGCAACGCCGCGUGAGUGAAGAAGGUUUUCGGAUCGUAAAGCUCUGUUGUAAGUCAAGAACGAGUGUGAGAGUGGAAAGUUCACACUGUGACGGUAGCUUACCAGAAAGGGACGGCUAACUACGUGCCAGCAGCCGCGGUAAUACGUAGGUCCCGAGCGUUGUCCGGAUUUAUUGGGCGUAAAGCGAGCGCAGGCGGUUUGAUAAGUCUGAAGUUAAAGGCUGUGGCUCAACCAUAGUUCGCUUUGGAAACUGUCAAACUUGAGUGCAGAAGGGGAGAGUGGAAUUCCAUGUGUAGCGGUGAAAUGCGUAGAUAUAUGGAGGAACACCGGUGGCGAAAGCGGCUCUCUGGUCUGUAACUGACGCUGAGGCUCGAAAGCGUGGGGAGCGAACAGGAUUAGAUACCCUGGUAGUCCACGCCGUAAACGAUGAGUGCUAGGUGUUGGAUCCUUUCCGGGAUUCAGUGCCGCAGCUAACGCAUUAAGCACUCCGCCUGGGGAGUACGACCGCAAGGUUGAAACUCAAAGGAAUUGACGGGGGCCCGCACAAGCGGUGGAGCAUGUGGUUUAAUUCGCAGCAACGCGAAGAACCUUACCAGGUCUUGACAUCCCGAUGCUAUUUCUAGAGAUAGAAAGUUACUUCGGUA